GAUGAACGCUAGCGGCAGGCCUAAUACAUGCAAGUCGAACGGUAACAUGAGUAGCAAUACUUGAUGACGAGUGGCGCACGGGUGCGUAACGCGUAUGCAAUCUACCUUUAACCGGUGAAUAGCCCGAAGAAAUUCGGAUUAAUACACCAUAGUAUGAUGAGGAGGCAUCUCCUUAUCAUUAAAGUUCCGACAGUUAAAGAUGAGCAUGCGUGACAUUAGCUAGUUGGUGAGGUAACGGCUCACCAAGGCCACGAUGUCUAGGGGAUCUGAGAGGAUUAACCCCCACACUGGUACUGAGACAGGGACCAGACUCCUACGGGAGGCAGCAGUAAGGAAUAUUGGACAAUGGUGGCAACACUGAUCCAGCCAUUGCCGCGUGAAGGAUGA
rnacentral:rRNA from 1 species